rnacentral:rRNA from 1 species
UACGUAGGGUGCGAGCGUUAAUCGGAAUUACUGGGCGUAAAGCGUGCGCAGGCGGUUCGUUGUGUCGGCGGUGAAAUCCCCGGGCUCAACCUGGGAAUGGCCGUUGAAACUGGCGAACUGGAGUGUGGCAGAGGGGGGUGGAAUUCCGCGUGUAGCAGUGAAAUGCGUAGAGAUGCGGAGAAACACCGAUGGCGAAGGCAGCCCCCUGGGCUGACACUGACGCUCAGGCACGAAAGCGUGGGGAGCAAACAGG